UACGGGGGGGCAAGCGUUGUUCGGAAUUACUGGGCGUAAAGGGCUCGUAGGCGGCCAACUAAGUCAGACGUGAAAUCCCUCGGCUUAACCGGGGAACUGCGUCUGAUACUGGAUGGCUUGAGUUCGGGAGAGGGAUGCGGAAUUCCAGGUGUAGCGGUGAAAUGCGUAGAUAUCUGGAGGAACACCGGUGGCGAAGGCGGCAUCCUGGGACCGAGACUGAACGCUGAGGAGGCGAAAAGCCAGGGGGAGCCAAACGGGGAUUAAGAAAACCCCGGAAGUA
rnacentral:rRNA from 1 species